rnacentral:lncRNA from 1 species
GCAAGAUGGAUUUCUAGUGCCCCUGAAAUAGGAUGGAACGAGCUGGCAAACAUGCGAAUAUUUUCAAGAUAAAGAUGUUUUUAGAUCACAGAGGAAUGCUUAAUCCUUGGAGAUAAGGUACAAGCUGAGAAAACAAGAAGGAAAUGGGUGCAAACCCACGCUUUGUGUUUCUUUGUGAACACAGUGGAUGGAAACUCAGACCCCAUUUGCCUACGAAGCACAGCCAUCUCGGGACCUGAGUGAAGUCCAAGCCUGCCAUGAGACUCAGAAAGUACCACUUCUUUCACUGGUUCCUCACCUCCAAACAUUUGCACAACUCUGGUGGCAUUUUAAAGCCACACACGAUGAGGUGACUAUUUUAGCUUGGCAUUGUUGUCUGGAUAAGGAUGCUGAGCAAGCUUCCUCUCCUGCAGUUUGCUCCACAGACUGCUGUGUUUGAUAAACACUGCUUUCUCCUGACAAGAUUACAAAUAACUUUGAUGUCAGGGGAAACCCUCUUCCUCCCAUGGCUAAUUUUAUCUCCAGGCAGGACUUACUGUAGUCCUUUGUCCAUUGUGAUGGCUUAGUAAAUGUGUUUAAGCUUACAAAUGAAAUGCGUCCCGGUUACAUACUUCUUGUAUGUAUCUUUAACAGCAAAUAGGGUGAUGCAUAUUACAGAAGCAGAGGGAACGAAGCCUGAACAGACUGCUGAAAAACUGUAGUAAAAACUUCAGGAAAAAAAUUACAACUUUUAGGAAAAAAAUGUUGUGGAAAAUAAGAGAAGAAACUAUUCAUGAGAAGCUAGAGUGGGGAA